UGGCUAAUUUUUGUAUUUUUUUGUAGAGAUGAGGUUUCACCAUGUUGCCCUGGCUGGUCUCUUAAUUCCUGGACUCAUGCAAUUCACCUACCUCCACCUCCCAAAGUGCUGGGUUCACAGGCAUGAGCCACUGUGCCUCGCCGUAGUAUGUCUUUAUGCAAAGCAGAAGUGACCCCCUUCUCAAGGCAUUUUAUUUCCAUAUGUCUGAAAAUUGUUACAAUGAACGGAUUCUGUAAUAACAAGGCAUUUUACUGCCAUCUACUGGUAAAUUAUCAUAAUAAAUUUACAAAUUACAAUAUCAUGUGAAUGGUGUCCACUUAAAAGUGAUAUCCUUCAAGACUAGUGAACAAUACAGUCAGGAUGGCUAAUGGUAACCCCAGGAAACCAAGAGGCAAGAUGUCUGCUUUUGCCUUCUUUGUACAGAUGUGCAGAGAAGAACAUAAGAAAAACCCAGAGGUCCCUGUCAAUUUUGCAGAAUUUUCCAAAAAGUGCUCUAAGAGGUGGAAGACAAUGUCUGGGAAAGAGAAGUCUAGGCCGGGCACAGCAGCUUAUGCCUGUAAUCUCAGCACUUUGGGAGGGUGAGGCGGGUGGAUCACCUGAGGUAAGGAGUUUGAGACCAGCCUGGCCAACACGGUGAAACCCCGUCUCUACUAAAAAUACAAAAAAUUAGCUGGACAUGUUGGUGGGUGCCUGUAAUCCCAGCUGCUGGGGAGGCUGAGGCAGGAGAAUGGCUUGAACCCAAGAGGCAGAGGUUGCAGUGAGCUGAGAUCGUGCCAUUGCACUUCAGCCUGGGCAACAAGAGCAAAACUUCAUCUCAGAAAAAAAAAAAAGAAGAGAGAGAAGUCUAAAUUCGAUUAAAUGGCAAAGGCAGAUAAAGUGCACAAUGAUACAGAAAGGAAGGAUUAUGGACCAGCUAAGGGAGGCAAGAAUAAUGAUCCUAAUGCCCCCAAAAGGCCACUGUCUGGAUUCUUCCUGUUCUGUUCAGAAUUCCACCCCAAGAUGAAAUCCACAAACCCCGGCAUCUCUAUUGGAGAUGUGGCAAAAAAGCUGGGUGAGAUGUGGAAGAACUUAAAUGACAGUGAAAAGCAGCCUUAUGUCACUAAGGUGGCAAAACUGAUGAAGUAUGAGAAGGAUGUUGCUGACUAUAAGUCGAAAGGAAAGUUGGAUGGUGCAAAAGGUCCUGCUAAAGUUGCCUGGGAAGACAUGGAAGAGGAAGAUGAAGAAGAGGAGGAGGAAGAGGAGAAGGUAGAUGAAUAAACUGUCAAAAAAAAAGUGAUAUCCUUCUUCAGGGCAAAAUUCAUCCAACUAAAUGUGUUAAGUCUGUGAUUUGGCACUGUUGUGACGAACCCUGCAGACAGUAAAAUGUAGACACUUUCUAGGUGGUUUUGUUCUUUCUUUUUUUCCCCUGUUUUGUUACUGUUUUUCUUAAACACAUCAUUGAAGUAUUCACUGUCAGUCUUAUCACUGCAAAGCUUAAGCCUAUUUAGACAUACAUGAAAGUAGAAGUCCAAUAAAUACAAAUCAAAUUAUCAAAGAACAAUUGAUUUUCUUCACUCUAGUCCAAAUCUAGAACAAUCCUGGAUGUUUUAGGACUGUUUUUCUUGCUCAAAACAUUUUAUGAAAUAGCCUGAUCACCUCUUCAGAAGCCUCUCUCAAUCUAUUGCUUGUUGAGACUAUCAUAUGCACUAAGGUUUCUCCUAAACAUUUCUAGGUAUAAAUUCAUUAAUAUGCUUAACAACCUUAUGGGGUAGGAGCCCUUAUUCUCUGCAUCCCAUAGGUGAGGCAACUGAAGCACAAAGAAGUUACAUUUCAAGUGAUGCUAUUACAAACAUAGCUUCCUUGGGGAGCUUACAGUCUACUGGGGACACAAAACGAAACAAAGCCAUGUAAAGAUUUUUAAACAAUAUAAAGGAGAAAAUACUUUGGACCCUGUUAGACAAGUCAUUUAUCUCCUCCCGGUUGCAGCUUCUUUAUCUGUAUAACGUAGAAGUUGGAUUUGCCCAAGAUCACACAGCUAAUAAAUGGCAGAGCUAGAAUCUGAACUUGAGUGUUUCAGCUUCAGAGCCCAAUAUUGUAAUCAUUAUGCUAUACUAUCUGCUAGUUCAUGGCCUGUUUUUGUUCCUUUGCUGCCUGCCUGCAGGCAACAAGUAUUUGUGUUGCCUAGGCUCCUACUAUUUUUACCUACAGGAUCCGCAGGUGCCCAGUGGGCCCCUGUCUUCUCAGCAUCUUGCAUUCUUGCAGAUCCCAGGAAUACCCAUGACCCUUGGCUUAAGGACAUGGACAUCAAGGUGAAAAAAUUAGGA